rnacentral:rRNA from 1 species
GACGAACGCUGGCGGCGUGCUUAACACAUGCAAGUCGAACGAGAAGAGAUGAGAAGCUUGCUUCUUAUUGAUUCGAGUGGCAAACGGGUGAGUAACGCGUAAGCAACCUGCCCUUCAGAUGGGGACAACAGCUGGAAACGGCUGCUAAUACCGAAUACGUUCUUUUUGUCGCAUGGCAGAGAGAAGAAAGGGAGGCUCUUCGGAGCUUUCGCUGAAGGAGGGGCUUGCGUCUGAUUAGCUAGUUGGAGGGGUUAACGGCCCGACCAAGGCGACGAUCAGUAGCCGGUCCUGAGAGGAUGAACGGCCACACUUGGGACUGAGACAC